rnacentral:rRNA from 1 species
ACAAGCGUACACGGUGGAUGCCCUGGCAGUCAGAGGCGAUGAAGGACGUGCUAAUCUGCGAAAAGCGCCGGUAAGGUGAUAUGAACCGUUAUAACCGGCGAUGUCCGAAUGGGGAAACCCGGUGCACUUCGGUGCAUCAUCGUUAGCUGAAUACAUAGGCUAACGAGGCGAACCGGGGGAACUGAAACAUCUAAGUACCCCGAGGAAAAGAAAUCAACCGAGAUUCCCCCAGUAGCGGCGAGCAACGGGGAACAGCCCAGAGCCUGAAUCAGCUUGUGUGUCAGUGGAACGGUCUGGAAAGGCCGGCGAUACAGGGUGACAGCCCCGUACACGAAGGCACACAGGCUGUGAGCUCGAUGAGUAGGGCGGGACACGUGAUAUCCUGUCUGAAGAUGGGGGGACCAUCCUCCAAGGCUAAAUACUCCUGACUGACCGAUAGUGAACCAGUACCGUGAGGGAAAGGCGAAAAGAACCCCGGCGAGGGGAGUGAAACAGAACCUGAAACCGUGUACGUACAAGCAGUGGGAGCCUUCGUAAGAGGGUGACUGCGUACCUUUUGUAUAAUGGGUCAGCGACUUAUAUUCUGUAGCAAGGUUAACCGUAUAGGGGAGCCGAAGGGAAACCGAGUCUUAAUUGGGCGUUAAGUUGCAGGGUAUAGACCCGAAACCCGGUGAUCUAGCCAUGGGCAGGUUGAAGGUUGGGUAACACUAACUGGAGGACCGAACCGACUAAUGUUGAAAAAUUAGCGGAUGACCUGUGGCUGGGGGUGAAAGGCCAAUCAAACCGGGAGAUAGCUGGUUCUCCCCGAAAGCUAUUUAGGUAGCGCCUCGUGAACUCAUCUCCGGGGGUAGAGCACUGUUUCGGCUAGGGGGCCAUCCCGGCUUACCAACCCGAUGCAAACUGCGAAUACCGGAGAAUGUUAUCACGGGAGACACACGGCGGGUGCUAACGUCCGUCGUGAAGAGGGAAACAACCCAGACCGCCAGCUAAGGUCCCAAAGUCAUGGUUAAGUGGGAAACGAUGUGGGAAGGCCCAGACAGCCAGGAUGUUGGCUUAGAAGCAGCCAUCAUUUAAAGAAAGCGUAAUAGCUCACUGGUCGAGUCGGCCUGCGCGGAAGAUGUAACGGGGCUAAACCAUGCACCGAAGCUGCGGCAGCGACACUAUGUGUUGUUGGGUAGGGGAGCGUUCUGUAAGCCUGCGAAGGUGUGCUGUGAGGCAUGCUGGAGGUAUCAGAAGUGCGAAUGCUGACAUAAGUAACGAUAAAGCGGGUGAAAAGCCCGCUCGCCGGAAGACCAAGGGUUCCUGUCCAACGUUAAUCGGGGCAGGGUGAGUCGACCCCUAAGGCGAGGCCGAAAGGCGUAGUCGAUGGGAAACAGGUUAAUAUUCCUGUACUUGGUGUUACUGCGAAGGGGGGACGGAGAAGGCUAUGUCGGCCGGGCGACGGUUGUCCCGGUUUAAGCGUGUAGGCUGACUUUCCAGGCAAAUCCGGAAGGUUAAGGCUGAGGCGUGAUGACGAGGCACCACGGUGCUGAAGUGACAAAUGCCCUGCUUCCAGGAAAAGCCUCUAAGCAUCAGGUAACAUCAAAUCGUACCCCAAACCGACACAGGUGGUCAGGUAGAGAAUACCAAGGCGCUUGAGAGAACUCGGGUGAAGGAACUAGGCAAAAUGGUGCCGUAACUUCGGGAGAAGGCACGCUGACAUGUAGGUGAAGCCCCUGCGGGUGGAGCUGAAGUCAGUCGAAGAUACCAGCUGGCUGCAACUGUUUAUUAAAAACACAGCACUGUGCAAACACGAAAGUGGACGUAUACGGUGUGACGCCUGCCCGGUGCCGGAAGGUUAAUUGAUGGGGUUAUCGCAAGAGAAGCUCCUGAUCGAAGCCCCGGUAAACGGCGGCCGUAACUAUAACGGUCCUAAGGUAGCGAAAUUCCUUGUCGGGUAAGUUCCGACCUGCACGAAUGGCGUAAUGAUGGCCAGGCUGUCUCCACCCGAGACUCAGUGAAAUUGAACUCGCUGUGAAGAUGCAGUGUACCCGCGGCAAGACGGAAAGACCCCGUGAACCUUUACUACAGCUUGACACUGAACAUUGAGCCUUGAUGUGUAGGAUAGGUGGGAGGCUUUGAAGCGUGGACGCCAGUCUGCGUGGAGCCGACCUUGAAAUACCACCCUUUAAUGUUUGAUGUUCUAACCUGGCGCCGUAAUCCGGCGUGGGGACAGUGUCUGGUGGGUAGUUUGACUGGGGCGGUCUCCUCCCAAAGUGUAACGGAGGAGCACGAAGGUCAGCUAAUCCUGGUCGGACAUCAGGAGGUUAGUGCAAUGGCAUAAGCUGGCUUGACUGCGAGAGUGACGGCUCGAGCAGGUGCGAAAGCAGGUCAUAGUGAUCCGGUGGUUCUGUAUGGAAGGGCCAUCGCUCAACGGAUAAAAGGUACUCCGGGGAUAACAGGCUGAUACCGCCCAAGAGUUCAUAUCGACGGCGGUGUUUGGCACCUCGAUGUCGGCUCAUCACAUCCUGGGGCUGAAGUAGGUCCCAAGGGUAUGGCUGUUCGCCAUUUAAAGUGGUACGCGAGCUGGGUUUAGAACGUCGUGAGACAGUUCGGUCCCUAUCUGCCGUGGGCGCUGGAGAAUUGAGGGGGGCUGCUCCCAGUACGAGAGGACCGGAGUGGACGCAUCACUGGUGUUCGGGUUGUCAUGCCAAUGGCACUGCCCGGUAGCUAAAUGCGGAAGAGAUAAGUGCUGAAAGCAUCUAAGCACGAAACUUGCCCCGAGAUGAGUUCUCCCUGAGACUUUAAGUCUCCUGAAGGAACGUUGAAGACGACGACGUUGAUAGGCCGGGUGUGUAAGCGCAGCGAUGCGUUGAGCUAACCGGUACUAAUGAACCGUGAGGCUUAACC